AUUGAACGCUGGCGGCAUGCCUUACACAUGCAAGUCGAACGGCAGCACGGACUUCGGUCUGGUGGCGAGUGGCGAACGGGUGAGUAAUGUAUCGGAACGUACCUUUCAGUGGGGGAUAACGUAGCGAAAGUUACGCUAAUACCGCAUAUUCUGUGAGCAGGAAAGCAGGGGAUCGCAAGACCUUGCGCUGAUUGAGCGGCCGAUAUCAGAUUAGCUAGUUGGUGAGGUAAAGGCUCACCAAGGCGACGAUCUGUAGCGGGUCUGAGAGGAUGAUCCGCCACACUGGAACUGAGACACGGUCCAGACUCCUACGGGAGGCAGCAGUGGGGAAUUUUGGACAAUGGGGGCAACCCUGAUCCAGCCAUGCCGCGUGAGUGAAGAAGGCCUUCGGGUUGUAAAGCUCUUUCGGCCGGGAAGAAAUCGCAUGGGCUAAUACCCUGUGCGGAUGACGGUACCGGCAUAAGAAGCACCGGCUAACUACGUGCCAGCAGCCGCGGUAAUACGUAGGGUGCGAGCGUUAAUCGGAAUUACUGGGCGUAAAGCGUGCGCAGGCGGUUUUUUAAGACAGGCGUGAGAUCCCCGGGCUCAACCUGGGAACUGCGCUUGUGACUGGAAGGCUAGAGUAUGGCAGAGGGGGGUGGAAAUUCCACGUGUAGCAGUGAAAUGCAUAGAGAUGUGGAGGAACACCAAUGGCGAAGGCAGCCCCCU
rnacentral:rRNA from 1 species